rnacentral:rRNA from 1 species
AAACUAACAAGGAUUCCCCUAGUAGCGGCGAGCGAAGCGGGAAGAGCUCAAAUUUAUAAUCUGGCACCUUCGGUGUCCGAGUUGUAAUCUCUAGAAGUGUUUUCCGCGUUGGACCGCACACAAGUCUGUUGGAAUACAGCGGCAUAGUGGUGAGACCCCCGUAUAUGGUGCGGACGCCCAACGCUUUGUGAUACACUUUCGAAGAGUCGAGUUGUUUGGGAAUGCAGCUCAAAUUGGGUGGUAAAUUCCAUCUAAAGCUAAAUAUUGGCGAGAGACCGAUAGCGAACAAGUACCGUGAGGGAAAGAUGAAAAGCACUUUGGAAAGAGAGUUAACAGUACGUGAAAUUGUUGGAAGGGAAACGCUUGAAGUCAGACUUGCUUGCCGAGCAAUCGGUUUGCAGGCCAGCAUCAGUUUUCCGGGGUGGAUAAUGGUAGAGAGAAGGUAGCAGUUUCGGCUGUGUUAUAGCUCUCUGCUGGAUACACCUUGGGGGACUGAGGAACGCAGUGUGCCUUACGGCGGAUUUCUCGAGAUCUUCACACUUAGGAUGCUGGUGGAAUGGCUUUAAACGA